GGAAGAAAUCAAGAAAUCGCUAACUUCUAACCCUGAGGCUAACCCCACAGCUUCCCC
rnacentral:tRNA from 1 species